rnacentral:tRNA from 1 species
CAGAGAGUAGUUUAAAUAAAAAUAUUAAUUUUGGAGAUUAAUGAUAAAGUUUUUUUUCUCUGA